GCUGGAGAGAUAUCGAUGGCCACCCUCCACGCCAGAGAGGCCAGAAGGAAGCACUCGACCAGCUGCUUGGACAGAUUAAAGAAGCUCAUCGUCACUGUGCCUGCCAUGAGCAAUGCAAAGCUCCAGCACAAGGUAGGAAGCACUCUGUAUCCAAAAGCCUUCGGCACCUCUUCCAACCCACCAGCAAAUUCGUCAAAAGCUUGAAAAGAGGUCUCUAUCUUACCUCCAUAUUCUACAGAGAUGACAAUGUGUUGGUGACUCCAGAAGAUCAGAUUCCUAUUGUGGAGAUAGAAGAUUCAUAUUCCAGCACUCUUAUGCAGGACUUUCUUUGGUUUACUAAGGU